CAGUAGCCGCGGUAAUGCGUAGGGUGCGAGCGUUAAUCGGAAUUACUGGGCGUAAAGCGUGCGCAGGCGGUUGUGUAAGACAGGUGUGAAAUCCCCGGGCUUAACCUGGGAACUGCGCUUGUGACUGCACAGCUAGAGUAUGGCAGAGGGGGGUGGAAUUCCACGUGUAGCAGUGAAAUGCGUAGAGAUGUGGAGGAACACCGAUGGCGAAGGCAGCCCCCUGGGCCAAUACUGACGCUCAUGCACGAAAGCGUGGGGAGCAAACAGGUUUAGAUACCCCUGUAGUCCCUGUCUCUUAUAU
rnacentral:rRNA from 1 species